AGAUGUGUCACCUGCUCCCUGGAGAGAAGUGUGACUCAUGCCUGCAAUCCCAGCCCUUGGGAAGUGGAGGCAGGAGGGUCAGAAGUUCAAGGUCAUCCUCAACUACAGAUCAUCAGGAAGAAAUGAGGGCAGAAAUGGAUACAAGGAAUUAAUCAUCCUAUUGAUCACCAUCCCAUCCUAGCAAGGAAGCAUGAAGAUUCCCUGAUGAGGAAUGAGCAAUGCACUAACCUGCUGGUACAAUGACAAGUUAUUAGGAGUCAGUUUAGUGCUACAUCCAUUUAUCAAGUAAUAGCAGCAGUUUCCAGCUUUUUGGAAUAUGUAGUGCAUUGUUUUUUUCUAAGCCACCCUACCAUUUAAUAGCAUGCCAGAGUGUCUCACUGCUGUAACUGGAACUUAGCACCUGAGGCCCAGGCAGCCCCCGCACCGUACUUUAUUACUGAGUCAUAUCAGGAACACAGGAG
rnacentral:lncRNA from 1 species